UAACCCUCGCAAGAGAUAGGGUGCAGAACCCUAGACCCUAUGGGUUCAGCCGAGCGAAGCGAGACAACGUUGCCCGGCGAAGCCGAGUAGGCAACGGCCCGAAGGGCAAGGGAGCUUGCGACCGAGUAAAUCCCUAUCUCUCCGCCA
rnacentral:sRNA from 1 species